rnacentral:rRNA from 1 species
UACGGGAGGCAGCAGUGGGGAAUAUUGCACAAUGGGCGAAAGCCUGAUGCAGCUAUGCCGCGUGUAUGAAGAAGGCCUUAGGGUUGUAAAGUACUUUCAUCGGGGAGGAAAAAACAAAACUAAUAAUUUUAUUUCUUGACGUUACCCGAAAAAGAAGCACCGGCUAACUCCGUGCCAGCAGCCGCGGUAAUACGGAGGGUGCUAGCGUUAAUCAGAAUUACUGGGCGUAAAGAGCACGUAGGUGGUUUUUUUAAGUCAGAUGUGAAAUCCCUGGGCUUAACCUAGGAACUGCAUUUUGAAACUGAAAUACUAGAGUAUCGUAGAGGGAGGUAGAAUUCUAGGUGUAGCGGUGAAAUGCGUAGAUAUCUGGAGGAAUACCUGUGGCGAAAGCGGCCUCCUAAACGAAUACUGACACUGAGGUGCGAAAGCGUGGGGAGCGAAACGAGGAGUUAGAUACC